ensembl:snoRNA
GUGCACAUUUUAUUGUCUCUUUUCUUUAUGUCAAGAGAAAAGAUAAUACUAAUGUACUAAAUAAACCUCUGGAGGUAAAUUAGCAGCAUGACUAAUUCAGCCAUUGCUGUGAGUCACUUUCAGACAAGA